rnacentral:rRNA from 1 species
GGCCUUGUACACACCGCCCGUCACACCAUGGGAGUGGGAUGCAAAAGAAGUAGUUAGUCUAACCUUCGGGAGGACGAUUACCACUUUGUGUUUCAUGACUGGGGUGAAGUCGUAACAAGGUAACCCUAGGGGAACCUGGGGUUGGAUCACCUCCUU